CUAAAAGCAUGAACAAACUAGAGUCCACAUGGAUGAUGCUAUGCGACUAGCCAUGUUUAGGAAAGUAAACACAGCUGUCCAAUGAGGGUACAGGAUAGGGAUCACUCAGUAGCCUAAGCAUAAUAAGGAGGUUGACAAAAACAGGCACUAAAAUAAUAGACUGUAUCAAGUGCUGUGUGCCUUUGAGCUAGCCCUGCGUUGUAAUAUGAGUUUGUGUAUAAGUUUGCUUACAUUUUGGUUCCCCCCUGGAGAAAAAUGCACCAGCCGCCACUGCAUUACAUAAUAAGAUGAUUGACAUCGCUUCAUGCUAUAAUGACAGCUCUUAGAAGAACAUUCUAGAAUUCAAGAUUCCAGAGCAGUGUCUCGUGCGAAAAAGAAAUAGGUAGCGCGUGAGGCCAAGAAUGUGUAAAAGUAAUCCGUUCGGCCCGAAACAUCUGUCAGCCAGGAUGUUUGCUUAUGUGAAAUACACGGACGGAUUUAAGGCUAUUGUAGCUACCUAUAACAAACAUCCAAAACUUCAACCUAAAAACAUAUCAAGCGGACAUCCUCUAUCCCAUUCUUUGGGAAGAAAACAUAUUUCAACGGCCAGGUUCUGCUUGUGAAAGAAACCCAAGAGAUUGAGGACUCAACAUCAAAUCCUCCAAAACGAAUCAGAGUUCCAAGGAUCCAAGAAGAUGUAGUUGAUGUUGAUCAUUGUGAAGGGGAAUCCACAGAAAUGGAUGCUCUCAAAAAGAAAUCGGUAUGUUUUUCUUAUUUUUAAGGAAAAUGUUCUGAAAAAUGCAUCUUCUGCUUCUGCUUCUUCCUCUUCUUCUUCUUCCUGGUGCAUGCUGGGAGAUUUUCGGAGGGUGAAAGAAAGAGAAGACUGGUUGUGGACUUGAAGGGAACGACUUCCUGGCCUUCCUGACAUCCAGGAAAAAGAGGCAGUAGAGAUGUACUGGAAACAGUGGAGAGGGAGAAGAUGCAGCAAAAGGCCCAGCCGGAUGGUUGCUGCUCCGUGUGGAACGUGUUCUCCAGUAUCAGAAAGGAUCAUGCCAGCCCACAUCAAACACCUGAUCAAGAACUUGAGAAUCUUCAGGCAGAAAAGAUGAAAACACCUGUUCAAAGUUCCAGUUCCCUGUACAUCAAACGAUGCCUGUCCUCUGUUCCACAUGUCUUCAGUCAGUCCUGGACCCUAUGACUAGGACACUAGUUCUACCAAGGCUUAAUAGAGAUAAUACAGCUGCACAAUUACAACAGGAACUAAUCUUUAGACGGUUAAUACAGAAGAUCUGCUAAAUUGGAGGAUUCCAAAGCUGAGCUGGAAGGGGAAGUCUCCACCUACAGGACAGCACAUCUAAACAUUCAUUUGGAUAAACUAUUAAACCAGGUAUUUUCACAAAAAGAACAAUCUGAGACCCAGUGUGAGCCUGCACCCUGGACACCCACACACCCCAAUAAUCCCCCUUCAAAGAGCGAGCCGCAUGGGAAGAUUGUUGUCAUUCACUUGCAAGGGGAGAUUCCAGUGCGUCCAGAGGUCUGGGCAAAAAUAAAAAACAACACAAGGGACUCCAUGUUCGUGAAGGAGUUGGCUGUGGCGUUUUGGGGCACCGACACCUUAGGGGAAAGGAGCCUGACUGGAAAGGAAUGCCCCACCACCAAGACCACCAGGCAGCCCCUCACCCUGCAGAAGCUAUGGGGUUUGAAAGCAUGGCUGUACGAGAAAGACGUGGAGGACCAAGAAAUGCUGGCCAGAUUGGCAAAGACCGGAAGAUACAUAACAGAGAAACAUAAUGGAUAUUAACAAGAAAAAGAAAAAAAUACUUUAAACAUUUUUUUUUAUAAUUUCUUUGUUGCUAU